UGAGGAAUAUUGGUCAAUGGGCGAGAGCCUGAACCAGCCAAGUAGCGUGCAGGAUGACGGCCCUAUGGGUUGUAAACUGCUUUUAUGUGGGGAUAAAGUGCGUGACGUGUCAUGCAUUGCAGGUACCACAUGAAUAAGGACCGGCUAAUUCCGUGCCAGCAGCCGCGGUAAUACGGAAGGUCCGGGCGUUAUCCGGAUUUAUUGGGUUUAAAGGGAGCGUAGGCUGUCUAUUAAGCGUGUUGUGAAAUAUACCGGCUCAACCGGUGGCUUGCAGCGCGAACUGGUCGACUUGAGUAUGCAGGAAGUAGGCGGAAUUCAUGGUGUAGCGGUGAAAUGCUUAGAUAUCAUGACGAACUCCGAUUGCGCAGGCAGCUUACUGUAGCAUAACUGACGCUGAUGCUCGAAAGUGCGGGUAUCAAACAG
rnacentral:rRNA from 2 species